GCUUACGGCCAUAUCACGUUGAAAGCACCGGUUCUCGUCUGAUCACCGAAGUUAAGCAACAUCGAGCCUAGUUAGUACUUAGAUGGGUGACCGCUGGGAACCCUAGGUGCUGUAAGCA
rnacentral:rRNA from 1 species